CCUGGUACGAUUUAUUGAAUCUCGUUUGAUCCUGUGUCUGAGAAUCUUGUACUGAUUGAACAAAUGUCUCUGUUUGUUUCUUAAUAUUGUUCAUUUCAUCCAACUUAGAGGUAAUUGACUUAUCCCAAGUGUCCAUCUUUAGUUCCAGCCGCACAAGUUUUUCGAGUACUUUUUCUUCAAAAUGAAACUUUGAACAGGAAAGUGAAGAUUCAAAUUCUGACCCAAUCGAACUUGAUGAAGCCCGAACAAACAAUAAGCUAACCAAAAUAAUUAGGUUUCGAACGAUAUCCAUAUUUCCUACACUUCUCUUUGUUUUCUAUU
rnacentral:lncRNA from 1 species